UACGUAGGGGGCAAGCGUUGUCCGGAUUUAUUGGGCGUAAAGAGCUCGCAGGUGGUUCGUUGCGUCGUGCGUGAAAGACCCCGGCUCAACUGGGGAGUGUCGUGCGAUACGGGCGAACUGGAGGCCAGUAGGGGGAUGCGGAAUUCCGGGUGUAGUGGUGGAAUGCGUAGAGAUCCGGAGGAACACCAGCGGCGAAGGCGGCAUCCUGGACUGGUCCUGACACUCAGGAGCGAAAGCGUGGGGAGCGAGCCGG
rnacentral:rRNA from 1 species